rnacentral:rRNA from 1 species
UACGAAGGGGGCUAGCGUUGCUCGGAAUCACUGGGCGUAAAGGGUGCGUAGGCGGGUCUUUAAGUCAGGGGUGAAAUCCUGGAGCUCAACUCCAGAACUGCCUUUGAUACUGAAGAUCUUGAGUUCGGGAGAGGUGAGUGGAACUGCGAGUGUAGAGGUGAAAUUCGUAGAUAUUCUCAAGAACACCAGUAGCGAAGGCGACACACUGGCUCACUACUGACGCUGAGGCGCGAAAGCGUGGGGAGCAAACAGG